GCGUUGUCCGGAUUUACUGGGUGUAAAGGGUGCGUAGGCGGCUUUGCAAGUCAGAUGUGAAAUCUAUGGGCUCAACCCAUAAACUGCAUUUGAAACUGUAGAGCUUGAGUGAAGUAGAGGCAGGCGGAAUUCCCCGUGUAGCGGUGAAAUGCGUAGAGAUGGGGAGGAACACCAGUGGCGAAGGCGGCCUGCUGGGCUUUAACUGACGCUGAGGCACGAAAGCGUG
rnacentral:rRNA from 1 species